CUAAGUCCUGUGAAAGGAGAAUUAAGCGAAAUAAUUCCUCAAAAUGCAACAAAAGAGAAGAAGCUUAAUGUGAUAUGAAAAGCCUGAGGAUGAGUGCAAACAAAAAGUUUACUGAGGAUUGGCUGACAGAGUGAUAUUUGGGCAAGAUCUGAGAUGCAUAUUGAACUGGGGAUGGACUAAACCAAAAUUGCAGAUCUGAACACCAGCAAAACUUUGGAUCCAGCACCACACUUGGUUACGUCCUUUCUUGUG